rnacentral:rRNA from 1 species
GUGGGGAAUUUUGGACAAUGGGCGCAAGCCUGAUCCAGCAAUGCCGCGUGCAGGAAGAAGGCCUUCGGGUUGUAAACUGCUUUUGUACGGAACGAAACGGUCCUGGUUAAUACCUGGGGCUAAUGACGGUACCGUAAGAAUAAGCACCGGCUAACUACGUGCCAGCAGCCGCGGUAAUACGUAGGGUGCGAGCGUUAAUCGGACUUACUGGGCGUAAAGCGUGCGCAGGCGGUGCUGUAAGACAGGCGUGAAAUCCCCGGGCUCAACCUGGGAAUUGCGCUUGUGACUGCAGUGCUGGAGUACGGCAGAGGUGGAUGGAAUUCCGCGUGUAGCAGUGAAAUGCGUAGAUAUGCGGAGGAACACCGAUGGCGAAGGCAGUCCCCUGGGCCUGUACUGACGCUCAUGCACGAAAGCGUGGGGAGCAAACAGGAUUAGAUACCCUUGUAGUCC